rnacentral:rRNA from 1 species
UACGUAGGGUGCGAGCGUUAAUCGGAAUUACUGGGCGUAAAGCGUGCGCAGGCGGUUUUGUAAGCCGGAUGUGAAAUCCCCGGGCUUAACCUGGGAAUGGCAUUCGGGACUGCAAGGCUGGAGUGCGGCAGAGGAGACUGGAAUUCCUGGUGUAGCAGUGAAAUGCGCAGAUAUCAGGAGGAACACCGGGUGGCGAAGGCGGUUCUCCUGGGCAUUGACCUGACGCUGAGGAGCGAAAGUGUGGGAGCGAACAGG